rnacentral:rRNA from 1 species
UGGGGAAUUUUGGACAGUGGGCGAAAGCCUGAUCCAGCAAUGCCGCGUGUGUGAAGAAGGCCUUCGGGUUGUAAAGCACUUUUGUCCGGAAAGAAAUCCUUGGCUCUAAUACAGUCGGGGGAUGACGGUACCGGAAGAAUAAGCACCGGCUAACUACGUGCCAGCAGCCGCGGUAAUACGUAGGGUGCAAGCGUUAAUCGGAAUUACUGGGCGUAAAGCGUGCGCAGGCGGUUUGCUAAGACCGAUGUGAAAUCCCCGGGCUCAACCUGGGAACUGCAUUGGUGACUGGCAGGCUAGAGUAUGGCAGAGGGGGGUAGAAUUCCACGUGUAGCAGUGAAAUGCGUAGAGAUGUGGAGGAAUACCGAUGGCGAAGGCAGCCCCCUGGGCCAAUACUGACGCUCAUGCACGAAAGCGUGGGGAGCAAACAGGAUUAGAUACCCUGGUAGUCCACGCCCUAAACGAUGUCAACUAGUUGUUGGGGAUUCAUUUCCUUAGUAACGUAGCUAACGCGUGAAGUUGACCGCCUGGGGAGUACGGUCGCAAGAUUAAAACUCAAAGGAAUUGACGGGGU